UACGGGGGGGGUAAGCGUUGUUCGGAAUUACUGGGCGUAAAGGGCUCGUAGGCGGCCAACUAAGUCAGACGUGAAAUCCCUCAGCUUAACUGGGGAACUGCGUCUGAUACUGGACGGCUUGGAUUCGGGAGAGGAAUGCGGAAUUCCAGGUGUAGCGGUGAAAUGCGUAGAUAUCUGGAGGAACACCGGUGGCGAAGGCGGCAUUCUGGACCGACAUUGACGCUGAGGAGCGAAAGCCAGGGGAGCAAACGGG
rnacentral:rRNA from 1 species